AUUGAACGCUGGCGGCAGGCCUAACACAUGCAAGUCGAACGAGUGGCGGACGGGUGAGUAAUGCUUGGGAAUCUAGCUUAUGGAGGGGGAUAACUACGGGAAACUGUAGCUAAUACCGCGUACCAUAGGAUGAGCCCACGUGGGAUUAGGUAGUUGGUGAGGUAAAGGCUCACCAAGCCGACGAUCUCUAGCUGUUCUGAGAGGAUGACCAGCCACACUGGGACUGAGACACGGUCCAGACGCCUACGGGAGGCAGCAGUGGGGAAUAUUGCACAAUGGGCGCAAGCCUGAUGCAUACAUGCCGCGUGUAUGAAGAAGGCCUUCGGGUUGUAAAGUACUGUCAGUCGGGAGGCGUUACCGACAGAAGAAGCACCGGCUAACUCCGUGCCAGCAGCCGCGGUAAUAC
rnacentral:rRNA from 1 species